UUGACCUCGGAUCAGGUAGGAAGACCCGCUGAACUUAAGCAUAUCAAUAAGCGGAGGAAAAGAAACCAACAGGGAUUGCCCUAGUAACGGCGAGUGAAGCGGCAACAGCUCAAAUUUGAAAUCUGGCCUCGGCCCGAGUUGUAAUUUGUAGAGGAUGCUUUGGGCGCGGCUCCAACUGAGUUCCCUGGAACGGGACGCCACAGAGGGUGAGAGCCCCGUAUAGUUGGAUGCCUAGCCUAUGUAAAGCUCCUUCGACGAGUCGAGUAGUUUGGGAAUGCUGCUCAAAAUGGGAGGUAAAUUUCUUCUAAAGCUAAAUAUUGGCCAGAGACCGAUAGCGCACAAGUAGAGUGAUCGAAAGAUGAAAAGCACUUUGAAAAGAGGGUUAAAUAGCACGUGAAAUUGUUGAAAGGGAAGCGCUUGUGACCAGACUUGCGCCGGGCGGAUCAUCCGGUGUUCUCACCGGUGCACUCCGCCCGGCUCAGGCCAGCAUCGGUUCUCGCGGGGGGAUAAAGGUCCCGGGAACGUAGCUCCUCCGGGAGUGUUAUAGCCCGGGGCGUAAUGCCCU
rnacentral:rRNA from 2 species